GGUCGCUUAUUUCAGUUGGUUAGAAUGUGGACCUAAUAAAAGUUCACAGUCCAAGGUCGGCGGUUCGAGCCCGCCAGUGACCA